rnacentral:rRNA from 1 species
UACGUAGGGUGCAGGCGUUAAUCGGAAUUACUGGGCGUAAAGCGUGCGCAGGCGGUUUCUUAAGUCAGAUGUGAAAGCCCCGGGCUUAACCUGGGAACUGCGUUUGAAACUGGGAGACUUGAGUGUGGCAGAGGGGGGUGGAAUUCCCGGUGUAGAGGUGAAAUUCGUAGAUAUCAGGAGGAACACCGGUGGCGAAGGCGGAUCUCUGGGCCUUACCUGACGCUGAGGCGCGAAAGCUAGGGGAGCGAACAGG